CCUACGGGAGGCAGCAGUGGGGAAUAUUGCGCAAUGGGCGCAAGCCUGACCCAGCAACGCCGCGUGAGGGAAGAAGGCUUUCGGUUUGUAAACUUCUUUUGGCAGGGAAGAGUAGGAGACGGUACCUGACGAAUAAGCCACGGCUAACUACGUGCCAGCAGCCGCGGUAAUACGUAGGUGGAAAGCGUUGUCCGGAUUUACUGGGUGUAAAGGGCGUGUAGGCGGUUUGACAAGUCAGAUGUGAAAUCCUGCGGCUUAACCGCAGAACUGCAUUGGAAACUGUUGAUCUUGAGUACUGGAGAGGUAGACGGAAUUCCUAGUGUAGCGGUGAAAUGCGUAGAUAUUAGGAGGAACACCAGUGGCGAAGGCGGUCUGCUGGACAGCAACUGACGGUGAGGCGCGAAAGCGUGGGGAGCAAACAGGAUUAGAUACCCGGGUAGUC
rnacentral:rRNA from 1 species